rnacentral:rRNA from 1 species
CCUACGGGAGGCAGCAGUGGGGAAUAUUGGACAAUGGGCGCAAGCCUGAUCCAGCAAUGCCGCGUGUGUGAAGAAGGCCUUCGGGUUGUAAAGCACUUUUGUUCGGGAAGAAAUCCGUGUGGUUAAUACCCGUACGGGAUGACGGUACCGAAAGAAUAAGCACCGGCUAACUUCGUGCCAGCAGCCGCGGUAAUACGAAGGGUGCAAGCGUUAAUCGGAAUUACUGGGCGUAAAGCGUGCGUAGGCGGUUUGUUAAGUCAGAUGUGAAAGCCCCGGGCUCAACCUGGGAACUGCAUUUGAUACUGGCAGGCUAGAGUACGGUAGAGGGUGGUGGAAUUCCCGGUGUAGCGGUGAAAUGCGUAGAGAUCGGGAGGAACAUCCGUGGCGAAGGCGGCCACCUGGACCAGUACUGACGCUGAGGCACGAAAGCGUGGGGAGUAAACAGGAUUAGAUACCCUGGUAGUCCACGCCCUAAACGAUGCGAACUGGACGUUGGGCUCACUUUGGAGCUCAGUGUCGAAGCUAACGCGUUAAGUUCGCCGCCUGGGGAGUACGGUCGCAAGACUGAAACUCAAAUGAAUUGACGGGG